GAUGAACGCUGGCGGCGUGCCUAAUACAUGCAAGUCGAGCGAACAGACGAGGAGCUUGCUCCUCUGACGUUAGCGGCGGACGGGUGAGUAACACGUGGAUAACCUACCUAUAAGACUGGGAUAACUUCGGGAAACCGGAGCUAAUACCGGAUAAUAUAUUGAACCGCAUGGUUCAAUAGUGAAAGACGGUUUUGCUGUCACUUAUAGAUGGAUCCGCGCCGCAUUAGCUAGUUGGUAAGGUAACGGCUUACCAAGGCAACGAUGCGUAGCCGACCUGAGAGGGUGAUCGGACACACUGGAACUGAUACACGGUCCAGACGCCUACGGGAGGCAGCAGUAGGGAAUCUUCCGCAAUGGGCGAAAGCCUGACGGAGCAACGCCGCGUGAGUGAUGAAGGUCUUCGGAUCGUAAAACUCUGUUAUUAGGGAAGAACAAAUGUGUAAGUAACUAUGCACGUCUUGACGGUACCUAAUCAGAAAGCCACGGCUAACUACGUGCCAGCAGCCGCCGUAA
rnacentral:rRNA from 1 species